UUGAUUCUGCACAAGGGAGCACUCGAUGAAGAGUCUGACAGAGAGAACAGUCAUGGGAAUCCACAAGCCAGAGAUUCACCUGUAAACAACAAAAGACGCUCUCCCCCCUCAGACACGCCUCCUUUUGGCGCUCAUCUGAGUACACACCACAGCAUCUCUACUGAUGAACAGGACAGCCCAGAGCGAAUUGUUCAAAAGGAGAAACUCCAUGCAGAACUAAAACAGGUUUUGAGUCUGAAAAGAAGCCAGUUUAGAGACACCCAAUCCACCCACACAGACAUGGAGGAACCCCUCAAGACAGACAGUAAGAAUGAGGUAAGAAUAAAACAUCCCAUAAUAUGAACUACUCUAAAGAUAAAAUAGAUUUAAAAGCACCUUUGUGGAAUACAGUAUGAACAUCAUUUGAACUUCCUUGUAUACAACUCAAAGCUUAAUUAGUGUUAUGUAGGUAUGUAUAUACAGUACAGACCAAAAGUUUGUACACACCUUCUCAUUUAAAGAGUUUUCUUUAUUUUCAUGACUAUAAAAAUUGUAGAUUCACACUGAAGGCAUCAAAACUAUGAAUUAACACAUGUGGAAUUAUAUAUGGAAUUAUAUACAUAACAAAAAAGUGUAUUGUAGGUUCUUCAAAGUAGCCACCUUUUGCUUUGAUUACUGCUUUGCACACUCUUUGCUUUCUCUUGAUGAGCUUCAAGAGGUAGUCACCUGAAAUGGUCUUCAACAGUCUUGAAGGAGUUCCCCGAGAGAUGCUUAGCACUUGUUGGCCCUUUUGCCUUCUGUCUGGGGUCCAGCUGACCCCUAAACCAUCUCGAUUGGGUUCAGGUCCGGUGACUGUGGAGGUCAGGUCAUCUGGAGGAGCACCCC
rnacentral:lncRNA from 1 species